rnacentral:piRNA from 1 species
UCCAGGCAGACCAGCUCUGUGCUUUCUUU